UACGAAGGGGGCUAGCGUUGCUCGGAAUCACUGGGCGUAAAGCGUACGUAGGCGGAUUGCUAAGUCAGGGGGGAAAUCCUGGAGCUCAACUCCAGAACUGCCUUUGAUACUGGCGAUCUCGAGUCCGGGAGAGGUGAGUGGAACUGCGAGUGUAGAGGUGAAAUUCGUAGAUAUUCGCAAGAACACCAGUGGCGAAGGCGGCUCACUGGCCCGGUACUGACGCUGAGGUGCGAAAGCGUGGGGAGCAAACGGG
rnacentral:rRNA from 1 species